UGGUCUGAAGAUUUUAUAAAGCCAUUGGGCCCUAAUUUGACAAGCCAGGCCCAUUGACCCAAGAACACUUGAACCUUGGGAGGGGCUCUUUCCUUGCAAGUCAGAUUUCACUUCACAGAUUCCUCUCUCUCUAGAACAGAAACCUUGCCCUAACUCAAGUUCUCUGACUUCUCUCUAGGUUUCCAGCCAUUUCCACCGAUUGAAUCCUAAUUUGGUGGUGUUUUCUUGUUCCUGGAGUCAAGAGCUACGAAACCAUCCGAUUGGUUUUGCGUUCCAGUGAGUUCUGUACAGUUUCGCACGGUGUAGGGGGUACUGUUAGAGCAUCUGUGAACUGUGUUGAGCAACCCACCAGGUAAGGGGAGCUGGUUAUGUUUAUUUGAUUUAAUAUUAUAUGUUCUGUAUGUAUGACAAUUUGAUUGGUAUGUUGUUUGGAGUUUUCUGUUACGAUUAAGAAAUAUUGGAUGUUAUGUGUUGAAAUUAUAAAGCUGUGAUUGAUGGCUUGUGGAAUGUUUGAUGAACUGAUUGCUAUAAUUGGAACUGUUUGAUGUAAGGGGAGCUAAUUAUUUUGUGUAAAUUUAUUUUAUAAAAUAUAUGCAUGUUAAUUGAUAAAUGGAUGCACUGUUGGGACUGUUUGUUGCUGUCUUAUGUAAUUGAUCUUGGUAUGAGCUUGAUUGCGUAAAGAGGAACCUGUGAUUUAUUUCCUGUGCAUUGUUUGAUGAAUCUAAUUGUUUCUCAAUGAGUUAUUGACUGUGAUUGAUGUUGUUUUGGAAAGGCUUUGGGUGAGACUUUAAUUAACAUUGUUUGGGUAGUACUUGGAUGCAUGAGUAUUAUUUUAGAGUAUUGUGAGAGGGGGGUAAAAUAUAAAAAUUGGGCGUUUGAGGUUUAAAGCACAACAAACUAGUUUAGGUAACUUAAAUAAAUUAAUUAAAAUUGGUUGAGAGCCUUUCUUUGUUGGUAGGAUAAAGGGGACUUAAAAACCUGAGUUGGCACAUCCCUGAUCAUAGAGCAGCCCUGGCCUGGUCCAAUCAGUUGUGACUAGUCAUAUGUGCUAGCGCCGAAGGUGAGUCUGAUGCGUUCAGACAUCUGAACCCUCUCCGGUGACCAAUUGGGUAGCGAUGUGGAGUGGAGAACAAGUAUUUUGUGAGGAGAAUGAGGCCUCAGUGGAGAAUGUCCUAGAGGGGAAUGAGGAAGCAGCUUCUUAGUCUCUCUAGGAAUUCCAUAGCUUUCCAUGUAUCUGAACAAUUCCAGUUCUUGUAUUUUGAAGUACUUUAGUAUUCCACGUUUUAAAAUUUCUUCUACAUUCCGGAUUACUGUAAUCCUUAAAUUUUAAUUUCUUAGAACCUUAAUUGCUAUUUUAUUAUUCUAACUGUUUUCUAUUAUCAUCUAUGUUGACGUCUUAAUUUUAUA